ACGUGGGCUCAGCGUUCCUCCCGGACUCCCAGGCUUAGGGAUGCUCUUAUCCCUGACGAUGUAGCAGGGGGACGCAUGGCACCCAGGCACUGACCCUCAGGUAUCAUGCUGCCACACCCAUAGCCCCCGGCUCUGGCCCCUGUCCGCUCCCUUGGAGACGUUGUACCCAUGGACAGAAGGCUCCUGGCUAUUGCCUCUUUUCUCAUCCAUCCAUCGGUGCAAUUGUGAAGCACCAGUGUAUGCCAGACACUGCUCUAGGUACUGGGAACACAUCGGUGGUGGAAACAGACCAAGAACCUUGACCUCAUGGAACGUCCUUCGAGCAGGAGAGACAGACGGAGGGAAGCGUCCGGCGUGGGUGGAGGAGAUGCUACGAGUUCUGGGGAAGGACGGACAGCAGAGGGAGGGGGUGGGACCUUCAGGGUAAGGAUGGGUUUGCUGCCAAGUGAAAUACGGUGGUGGGGGUGGCCUCACUGAGAAGGCGGCAUCUGACCAACGUCGAGGAGACCUGGGAGGGAGCCUGGCAGGUAGCCGCGGGGAGAACGCUGCAGGCAGAGGAGGUGGCCCAGUUAAAGGGCAGAGGUGCCUGCUUGUUCAAAGCUGGUGUGGCAGAGCGGGGGCUGGUCUGCAGAGCUUCUCAGGCCUUGGAAGGCCCGUGACUUCUACUCUAGGGGGUCCAAGCCAGGACAGUGCCGUCUGACUUCCUUGCUGUCGGGGCUUCCUGUAGGACAGGGGACAAGGGCAGCCAGAACACAGGGUGAGGGGACGGUGCCUGCAGGGUGGGGUGCGGUGGGGUGGUCAGGUUCUGGAUGUGCUUUGCGGGUGGAGCCAAGGCCGUUUUGAGCCAGACCGGAGUGGAGUGUGACAGAAAGAGAGGCGCCGGGGAUGCCUCUGAGGAUUUGGGUCCAAGCAACCAAAAAGAUGGAUUGCUGUUCACUGCGAUGGGAACGGCUGUGCCUUCUCUGCCUCCCCCACCCCCGACCUCCACUUCCAGGCCCAGGGGGCGGGGGGGGGGUGUCCUCCUGUCUCCCAGCUCACAGCGGGGAGAGGGAGAGGAAUGGGCUGGGGGCUGGGGGGCUUCCAGCUUGGAAUGCGACAGGCCAGCCUCUGAGAAGAGUUUGCUCCUUUCCGUCAAGGCCAGGCUGGGAGGGGGAGACACAGACAGACUCACAGGCCAGCCAGAGAUGGGACCUUCCCCCCAGUGGUCUUGGGGGUUUGGGGACAGUUUAUGGCCCCAGCUCAGACUUAACAAACCCGUUCACGAUACAUCAUCUCCAGCGACUUGUUUGGCUACGGAGCAUAAACUCUCUCUCUGAUCGAAGAUGUUUAUGCAGGUUUUCAAACAAACCUCCAGGUCACGACCCCUCUCUCAGCAGCAUCAACACAGCUGCCUGUGUCCCCUCCCACGGCCGGGCCCCUCCUGGGCACAGCAGCCUGAGGAAGGUGGAUGGUACCUGGUCUGGCUGCGCCCUCCUUGCCCUUGGGAAGGGGCCGGCUGCCUUCUGCGUUAACCCUGGGAGCCCCUCUCCUUGCUGCCUCUUCCGUUGUCACGGCAACCCAGCGCCUCCUCCGGACACACAGCUUCUUGCUCACUCUAGAAAGGCGACGGCUGUAGGGCCCUGGCUUCCUCCUGGCUCUGCCAUUUAGCAGGCAGAUGGGUGAUGUCAUUUUGGAGCCUGGUUUCUCCCUGUGACACAGGCCUCGCCUCACCUGCAGGCUGGGACUGGACACGCAGAAGGCACUUCCAAUCACCUCCCAUGCCAGGUCUGGACACAAGGGUGGCAACCUCUGGCCUCACUUUCACGGCCUGGGGUGGGUGGGUUGGUGGGUGUUUUGGUGGGUUGGUUGGUUGUUGAGUUCAUGACUAUCCUAUUUCUAACUGCUCUUGAGAACAAAUGCCUUUUGCUGCAGGAUUGUAAACGUCGAGAAAAGAGAAAGUGCUCCUUUUAAGAAAUAACAUGCUCUCACAAGCUGAUGGGGAGAAACAUUACCACCCCUGGACAAAGAGGAGACGGCUCUCCCAUCCAAGAUGGCCAUGCUGGGGUUGCAGGCCACACGUGCAGCCGAGCCAGGGCACUGCCGACCUCUCCUCUGAGUGAUGAGAAUUCAGGUACCAACCCACUCACCGGGGUUCUUCCCUGGCACCUAAGCUGACCCCAGGGAUGGGAGCACUCCCUGGCUGAGCCCCUGCCUCCUACCGGUCCAUUCACUCACCCUGCAGGCAUUUACUGGUUGCAGGUCCCGGCACCAGGCUUGGUUGCCAACUGAGGACCUGCAGGCUGAAAUCAGGCCACAGAGAAGCUGUAUCUGACCCACAUCAUGUUUCUGAAAGUUUUCCAUCACUCACUCGCAAAGUUAAAAAGUUUGAAAACUGCAUCUAGAAAUCUGACUUCUGGAUUUCUCUUAGAUUACCCAAAAAAGCUAGUCACACUGGGCGACAAUCCCCCGACUGCGUGCACUUGGAGUCGAACAUGGGCAGCCCCUGCUGCGUGUGACGCAGGCCUCACCGCUCCCCGCCGCCUCCCUGAUCCACCCUCUCCCCUCACAGUCCCCCUUGCUGGCCCUGUAGGCGUGUAGCUUUGGAUCCCCGCUGUGGAGGAAGAAUGGCACCACCACCGUGUGUUCGGCUCUCCGCGUGUGCCAGGCUGUACUCGCAGCGUGUUGCACAAACGAACUCAUCUCAGCCCCACAGUAACAGCGCGGGAGACCCUACUAUCAUGCCCAUUCACUCAAGGCAUAGGCACUGAGGGCCCAAACCUGCCAGGUACCCUCCUGGCAAUGGAGAUGCAGCGGGGAGCAAGACAGAAUCCCUGUCUUUAUGGAGCUUCCAUGCCGGUGAGAUAGCUGACAGCAGGCAGAGUAAGUAGACAGGUCAGAAGGUGCCCGUGUGAGGGAGAACACUGAGCAGGAGGAAGGGUUUGGGGCGCUGCUGGUUGGCGUCGGGGGUGCUAGUGUGAAGAAUGUCGGUGUCGGCCUUGCUGGGAAGAUGAUGCUUAAGGAAAGCCGUGAAGGCGGUGAAAGAUGAGAGGAACAAACUAGGCAGAGAGAGAUUGAGAAACGUGCCUGAGGUUGCACAGCUAGUAAACUGCAAAGUUGGGAUCUGAACCUGGGCUGGUUCCAGAGCCUGGUUCUUAAGCCCUGCAUUACAGGCCAUCCCUGCGGCCCAGACCCUCAGAGGGAGGGCAUUAGACAGGCAGGGAACACAGCUGCCAUUAGUGGGCAAGAGCUGGGGGUGGGUUGGGCCAGGGAUGGACGGGGCAGCGGGAAAGGCCACAGCCUAAGGCUUCUGCCCUGAAGAUUCUGAUCUCCUGUCCUGUCCUGUCCUCCCAGGAGGCCAGGAUGGACUGACCCCCUGCUGGCAGCUCUUUAAUUUAAUCUCAGGAGGCUUCUGGGAGCUUGCCUCCACCUUCAAGCUCCAGGCCCCUCCUCCUUGCAAGCAACUGGGGUGAAGCAGCCACAAAUCCUCCUAAUCUGCCAGCAUCUCAGGGUCCGACCAUCUUGGGCAGCACCCAGCCUGGCAGCGGGGAGGCCCCAUCGCUCCCACCCACCCAGCCGUGACUGCCCAGCCGGGCCCACGCCGCCUCACCCAUGGGGAACAGCAAGAGCGGGUCCCUGUCCAAGGAGAUCCUGGAGGAGCUGCAGCUCAACACCAAAUUCACGGAGGAGGAGCUGAGCGCCUGGUACCAGUCCUUCCUGAAGGAGUGCCCCAGCGGCCGCAUCACCCGCCAGGAGUUCCAGACCAUCUAUGCCAAGUUCUUCCCCGAGGCCGACCCCAAGGCCUACGCCCAGCAUGUGUUCCGCAGCUUCGAUGCCAAUAGCGACGGCACCCUGGACUUCAAGGAGUACGUCAUCGCCCUGCACAUGACCAGCGCGGGCAAGUCCAGCCAGAAGCUGGAGUGGGCUUUCUCCCUCUACGACGUGGACGGCAACGGGACCAUCAGCAAGAACGAAGUGCUCGAGAUCAUCACGGCUAUUUUCAAAAUGAUCAGUCCUGAGGACAUGAAGCAGCUCCCCGACGACGAAAACACCCCGGAGAAGCGAGCCGAGAAGAUCUGGGGGUUCUUUGGGAAGAAGGACGAUGGCUGAGUCCCUUGUUCUGCUACCUGCAAACCUGCAAACUGACCCAGGUGGACACUGUAGGAGGCGGUGCUAGAGGAGGCAGGCCUGGCACGCCUGCCAGGCGACCUGUGUUUUCACAUGGCCCAUCUGCAGACAACGCCUCACUCCGGAGUCAGGUUCUGCGGAUAAACUUACAGAGAAAGAGUUCAUCGAGGGGACCAUGGCCAAUAAGGAGAUUCUGCGACUGAUCCAAUUUGAGCCUCAAAAAGUGAAGGAGAAGCUGAAGGAAAAGAAACCCUGAUGUCAGCUACUCAGGUCUCCCCCGUCCCCUCACACACACACACACGUGUGCCCACAGGCGCCCACCCAGCCCCCCGGGGCUGGAAGACCCCCCCCCCAACGGCACAUUAACCUGCAGCACAGCUCCCCGCCAAGCAGAAGUGUCUUUAGCGAGUCAGCUUGUCCUUCCUCUAGUCCUGCCCACUACACCUGCCUGGCCCCCCCACCUCCCGCCAGCCCAGGCCUCAGAAAUAAUCCCAGGAUUAGGUCACAAGAGUCCCAGAUAUCGCCCCCUCCCCUCCCCGUCCCAUGUAAGCUCCUUUGCGGACUGCUGGGUAAGCAGGUUCCAAUAAAUGCACGAGGAGCUGGGCA